AGUGAACGCUGGCGGUAGGCCUAACACAUGCCAGUCGAACGGCAGCACAGUAAUAGCUUGCUCUUACGGGUGGCGAGUGGCGGACGGUUGAGGAAUACAUCGGAAUCUACUUUUUCGUGGGGGAUAACGUAGGGAAACUUACGCUAAUACCGCAUACGACCUACGGGUGAAAGCAGGGGAUCUUCGGACCUUGCGCGAUUGAAUGAGCCGAUGUCGGAUUAGUUAGUUGGCGGGGUAAAGGCCCACCAAGGCGACGAUCCGUUGCUGGUCUGAGAGGAUGAUCAGCCACACUGGAACUGAGACACGGUCCAGACUCCCACGGGAGGCAGCAGUGGGGAAUAUUGGACAAUGGGCGAAAGCCUGAUCCAGCCAUACCGCGUGGGUGAAGAAGGCCUUCGGGUUGUAAAGCCCUUUUGGUGGGAAAGAAAAGCAGCAGGUUAAUACCCCGCUGUUCUGACGGUACCCAAAGAAUAAGCACCGGCUAACUUCGUG
rnacentral:rRNA from 1 species